AUUGAACGCUAGCGGGAUGCCUUACACAUGCAAGUCGAACGGCAGCACGGACUUCGGUCUGGUGGCGAGUGGCGAACGGGUGAGUAAUGUAUCGGAACGUGCCCAGUAGCGGGGGAUAACUACGCGAAAGCGUAGCUAAUACCGCAUACGCCCUACGGGGGAAAGCAGGGGAUCGCAAGACCUUGCACUAUUGGAGCGGCCGAUAUCGGAUUAGCUAGUUGGUGGGGUAACGGCUCACCAAGGCGACGAUCCGCAGCUGGUUUGAGAGGACGACCAGCCACACUGGGACUGAGACACGGCCCAGACUCCUACGGGAGGCAGCAGUGGGGAAUUUUGGACAAUGGGGGAAACCCUGAUCCAGCCAUCCCGCGUGUGCGAUGAAGGCCUUCGGGCUGUAAAGCACUUUUGGCAGGAAAGAAACGUCGUGGGUUAAUACCCCGCGAAACUGACGGUACCUGCAGAAUAAGCACCGGCUAACUACGUGCCAGCAGCCGCGGUAAUACGUAGGGUGCAAGCGUUAAUCGGAAUUACUGGGCGUAAAGCGUGCGCAGGCGGUUCGGAAAGAAAGAUGCGAAAUCCCAGAGCUUAACUUUGGAACUGCAUUUUUAACUACCGGGCUAGAGUGUGUCAGAGGGAGGUGGAAUUCCGCGUGUAGCAGUGAAAUGCGUAGAUAUGCGGAGGAACACCGAUGGCGAAGGCAGCCUCCUGGGAUAACACUGACGCUCAUGCACGAAAGCGUGGGGAGCAAACAGGAUUAGAUANCCUGGUAGUCCACGCCCUAAACGAUGUCAACUAGCUGUUGGGGCCUUCGGGCCUUGGUAGCGCAGCUAACGCGUGAAGUUGACCGCCUGGGGAGUAUGGUCGCAAGAUU
rnacentral:rRNA from 1 species